GAUGAGCGCUGGCGGCGCGCUUAACACAUGCAAGUCGAACGGGAAUUAUUUUAUUGAAACUUCGGUCGAUUUAAUUUAAUUCUAGUGGCGGACGGGUGAGUAACGCGUGGGUAUCCUGCCUUAUACAGGGGGAUAACAGUCAGAAAUGGCUGCUAAUACCGCAUAAGCGCACAGAGCUGCAUGGCUCAGUGUGAAAAACUCCGGUGGUAUAAGAUGGACCCGCGUUGGAUUAGCUGGUUGGUGGGGUAACGGCCCACCAAGGCGACGAUCCAUAGCCGGCCUGAGAGGGUGAACGGCCACAUUGGGACUGAGACACGGCCCAGACUCCUACGGGAGGCAGCAGUGGGGAAUAUUGCACAAUGGGGGAAACCCUGAUGCAGCGACGCCGCGUGAAGGAAGAAGUAUCUCGGUAUGUAAACUUCUAUCAGCAGGGAAGAUAGUGACGGUACCUGACUAAGAAGCCCCGGCUAACUACGUG
rnacentral:rRNA from 1 species